GUCUAAUUGUGUGACAUAUUUGAUUGUAGAGGCAGUGAUACCAGAGGUGAUGUCUGAACAUAAUGGCAGCCAGCAGGAGAACUCAGCUGUACAAGAAAACAGACCCUACUCCAAACCUCCCAUCAUGUACUGAAGCCUCUGGCAUCUUUAGUCCCACGACGGACAGCUCAGCUCAGCUCAGUCCACAGAUGGAGAGGGGUUUGUGGGGCUAUUUCCCGGAGGAAAAGUGGUGCGGGUGCUGAAGACCGGGCAUCUGAACCCGUGUACAGGACUUGAGUGUGUGUGUAUGUAUGUGUAUGUGUGUGGAGGUGCAGUGUGUUUGCGGUCCUCAUGAGACACGUGUGUGUGUCUGGAGCACUGCUCGUUGGAGACCUUUCAACAUCACAUGCACCGACUUGUAAAAAAAUGUCUUUCUCUCUUGUUUUGACUACUUCUACAUCCCACACUUUUUUGAGAUUAAAAGAAAUGUUUGUUUUCCUGGAUUAAAAUCUCAUUACCUGAUGAAUUACCCUUCGUUAUGUGAAGCACACAGCAUCACCCUAAUCUAAACCUAUCUUCAGUUUGUUGUUAUUAUUAUUAUUGUGUGUUAUCUGCUGAUCCCCCAUGAUUCUGUGCACCAGUGAUUCUGAACAGCACAACAGUCUUGACGAGUCUGUAGAGAACUUUGUCUACAGCACCUCUACAUGAAGGGACAAAAGAGACAAAUAUUAUGUGGACAGACUCCAAAUAAGACACGUGCUUCUUUAAUAAACAUUGUCUACAUUUGUUGUUUUGCCUUUUAAGAAAGGGAUUCUAUAUCAACAUUUCCUUUUUUCUAAUUUGUUGUAUUUUUUUUUAGAAAGUGUAGAAAUAUUUUCCUCAUGUUGUCGUUUCCCUGCCCUAUGUUUAUUAUUCUGGUGUUUAUUUUAUUAUCUGGUUUGUUGUUUUCCAUUGUAUUUUAAUCAGCAUUUCAAACAGAUGCUCAAGUGAUCUUGAAACAAACGUUCUUUGUACGUCUUUGCUGUCUUAGUUUGCCCCGUGACAAUGUUUUCUCUAUUGCUGCUUAACUUAAAAAGUAAAAAAAAAAAGAAGUGUUCAUUUGAUGUUGCUAUAAACACAGUAUUACAGUACUCCCCCUUCUGUUUUUACCUGUUUAUAAAGACUUGUAAAAAUGCUUUAGCGUUUGCUAUCCUGACGUUGUUAUUACGUGGAUACAUUUUUAGUGACGAAAAAGAGACGAGAAGUACCCUUAUGCACACCCAGAGCGAGCAUGCUUGUAAAUACAACGAUGAAAAAUGACACGUAUCGAUUGAAAAUAAAACGCUGCCUCUUCAAAUCUAUUUUUAAACAUUUCUAGCGACUCCAUAGGUAAUGCAA